CCUACGGGAGGCAGCAGUGGGGAAUAUUGGACAAUGGGGGCAACCCUGAUCCAGCCAUGCCGCGUGUGUGAAGAAGGCCCUCGGGUUGUAAAGCACUUUCAGUGAGGAAGAACGCCUGGUGGUUAAUACCCAUCAGGAAAGACAUCACUCACAGAAGAAGCACCGGCUAACUCCGUGCCAGCAGCCGCGGUAAUACGGAGGGUGCGAGCGUUAAUCGGAAUUACUGGGCGUAAAGCGCGCGUAGGUGGCUUGAUAAGCCGGUUGUGAAAGCCCCGGGCUCAACCUGGGAACGGCAUCCGGAACUGUCAAGCUAGAGUGCAGGAGAGGAAGGUAGAAUUCCCGGUGUAGCGGUGAAAUGCGUAGAGAUCGGGAGGAAUACCAGUGGCGAGGGCGGCCUUCUGGACUGACACUGACACUGAGGUGCGAAAGCGUGGGUAGCAAACAGGAUUAGAUACCCUAGUAGUC
rnacentral:rRNA from 1 species